GUUUAUUAUUUCUACAAUAUGGCUAUCCGUUUCAUUUGUGGAGAAGAGAAAGUAGCAAGAAUUGUAUUAUUUUCCAAGAAAUAUAAACAAAUCAAAAGUCUGGCAAAAAAAACUAUGAAUGAGAUUCACUGGAGAGAAUCUUCGAAAUUAUAGAAUAUGCUCUAAUCACUUCACUUUGAAGUCAUACAUUGAUACAAUAAAGCUUAGGCUACUUAGAAAUGCAGUUGCAAAUCAGUUUUUCAAUAAACCACUUCCUUCAAAGACUACAAUACAAGAAGAAUGUGAGGAAAACAUUUAGGUACGAAUGAAAUGCCGAUCCACUCAGAUAGCCCAAAUGUAACAACAUAUUUUAUAUGAACAUAAAUAAUGAUUCAUU